AAGAGUGCAAAUUCUUAAUAGUAUUUUUCUGUGUAUAAACAGACUUUAAAGAGCAACUGAAUGAUUUUGGACCUCUCUUGAAAUUCAAAACAAAUUGGAAGCCAGACGGUGGUUACCCAUAAUCCCCACAUGAGAUGAAAAUCAGGAAGCCCAUCUGCUUGAAUUACCCAUUUCCACAUGGAAGUUAGGAUCUCCAGCUAUUCAUAAUCUGGAUUGAAGAAUGCAUCACCAGGAGAGGAGAAAAGGCUGCAAGCAAAGCAAAGUGGCCAUCCAUCUGUAAGAAAAUCACAAAAACAACACUUACUUAAAUGAAAUGUUUAAUCAUGGUAACUACUGAACUCAAUUGAAUGAUGGCUGAUAUUUAUAUUUGAUUCACAUGUAAUUAUUUCCCAAAGCUGAAGUCCACAAAGUUUAUUGUGCACACAGUGGUAGACUGAAUGAUGGGUUCCAUUCUCC
rnacentral:lncRNA from 1 species